GCGUCCGAUUAGCUAGUUGGUUGGGUAAAGGCUAACCAAGGCGACGAUCGGUAGCUGGUCUGAGAGGAUGGCCAGCCACACUGGGACUGAGACACGGCCCAGACUCCUACGGGAGGCAGCAGUGGGGAAUAUUGGACAAUGGGGGCAACCCUGAUCCAGCAAUGCCGCGUGUGUGAAGAAGGCCUGCGGGUUGUAAAGCACUUUCAGUGGGGAGGAAGUUGAGCAGGUUAAGAGCUAGCUGAAUUGACGUUACCCACAGAAGCAGCACCGGCUAACUCCGUGCCAGCAGCCGCGGUAAUACGGGGGGUGCAAGCGUUAAUCGGAAUUACUGGGCGUAAAGGGUGCGUAGGUGGUUAGAUAAGUUAUCUGUGAAAUCCCCGGGCUCAACCUGGGCAGGUCAGAUAAGACUGUUUAACUCGAGUAAAGGAGAGGGUAGGGGAAUUUCCGGUGUAGCGGUGAAAUGCGUAGAGAUCGGAAGGAACACCAGUGGCGAAGGCGCCUACCUGGCCUAUUACUGACACUGAGGCACGAAAGCGUGGGGAGC
rnacentral:rRNA from 1 species